UUGAUACNCCAAAUUUCUUGUCUUAGAUUUGUCUAGAUACGGAUGUAUCUAAUACUAAAAUGUGACUUGAUACAUCCGUAUCUAGACAAAUCUAAGACAAGAAUUUUGGGACGGAGGGAGUACUUU
rnacentral:pre_miRNA from 1 species